AUCUUUGUACAGUGGCAGUAUUGUAGCCAAUGAGGUUUAUUGGAGGCACGAUUAUUGCUAAUUGAAUAAAUUAGAUUUUUAAAAAAGAUUUAAUGUUGAUUAGCCUGUUGU
rnacentral:snRNA from 1 species